CUCCUACGGGAGGCAGCAGUGGGGAAUUUUGGACAAUGGGGGAAACCCUGAUCCAGCCAUGCCGCGUGAGUGAAGAAGGCCUUCGGGUUGUAAAGCUCUUUCAGCCGGAACGAAAAGGUUACGGUUAAUACCCGUGACUAAUGACGGUACCGGAAGAAGAAGCACCGGCUAACUACGUGCCAGCAGCCGCGGUAAUACGUAGGGUGCGAGCGUUAAUCGGAAUUACUGGGCGUAAAGCGUGCGCAGGCGGUUUUGUAAGUCAGAUGUGAAAUCCCCGGGCUCAACCUGGGAACUGCGUUUGAAACUACAAGGCUAGAGUGUGGCAGAGGGGGGUGGAAUUCCACGUGUAGCAGUGAAAUGCGUAGAGAUGUGGAGGAACACCGAUGGCGAAGGCAGCCCCCUGGGUUAACACUGACGCUCAGGCACGAAAGCGUGGGGAGCAAACAGGAUUAGAUACCCUGGUAGUCCACGCCCUAAACGAUGUCAACUAGUUGUCGGGUCUUAACGGACUUGGUAACGUAGCUAACGCGUGAAGUGACCGCC
rnacentral:rRNA from 1 species